rnacentral:rRNA from 1 species
CUACCAUGCAGUCGACGGUAGCACAGAGAGCUUGCUCUCGGGUGACGAGUGGCGGACGGGUGAGUAAUGUCUGGGAAACUGCCUGAUGGAGGGGGAUAACUACUGGAAACGGUAGCUAAUACCGCAUAACGUCGCAAGACCAAAGAGGGGGACCUUCGGGCCUCUUGCCAUCAGAUGUGCCCAGAUGGGAUUAGCUAGUAGGUGGGGUAACGGCUCACCUAGGCGACGAUCCCUAGCUGGUCUGAGAGGAUGACCAGCCACACUGGAACUGAGACACGGUCCAGACUCCUACGGGAGGCAGCAGUGGGGAAUAUUGCACAAUGGGCGCAAGCCUGAUGCAGCCAUGCCGCGUGUAUGAAGAAGGCCUUCGGGUUGUAAAGUACUUUCAGCGGGGAGGAAGGUGUUGUGGUUAAUAACCGCAGCAAUUGACGUUACCCGCAGAAGAAGCACCGGCUAACUCCGUGCCAGCAGCCGCGGUAAUACGGAGGGUGCAAGCGUUAAUCGGAAUUACUGGGCGUAAAGCGCACGCAGGCGGUCUGUCAAGUACGGAUGUGAAAUCCCGCGGGCUCAACCUGGGAACUGCUUUCAAAACUGGCAAGCUAGAGGCUUGUAGAGGGGAGGUAGAAUUACUGGUGUAGUGAGCUACAUGAAGUAAAGAUCUCAAAGGAAUACCGGUGGAAGAAGACAUCCCCUUGGGACAAAGACUGACACGCUAGUCGAAAACGGGUUGGCUCCCAAACGCAUUAUGAAACUAGAGUGUUAGUCUAUCGUCGAAGACGACGUCG